GCAAACUUGGUCAUUUAGAGGAAGUAAAAGUCGUAACAAGGUUUCCGUAGGUGAACCUGCGGAAGGAUCAUUAUUGAAAUCCUUCCAAGGAUGUUGCUGGUCCUUAGGGACAUGUGCACUCCGCCUUUCUAUACACCUGUGAACUUAUUGUAGGUGCAGAUGCACCUAUGUUUUUUUUAACACACCCUUUUAAAAUGUAUAAUGGAAUGUUGAUGGAUAAUAAAUAACAAUACAACUUUCAACAAUGGAUCUCUUGGUUCUCGCAUCGAUGAAGAACGCAGC
rnacentral:misc_RNA from 1 species